rnacentral:rRNA from 1 species
UCGAACGGCAGCACGGACUUCGGUCUGGUGGCGAGUGGCGAACGGGUGAGUAAUGUAUCGGAACGUGCCCAGUAGCGGGGGAUAACUACGCGAAAGCGUAGCUAAUACCGCAUACGCCCUACGGGGGAAAGCAGGGGAUCGCAAGACCUUGCACUAUUGGAGCGGCCGAUAUCGGAUUAGCUAGUUGGUGGGGUAACGGCUCACCAAGGCGACGAU